CUCACGGCGCGAAAUUAUUUUUACUUGGAUUUCCAUUUUAGUCGAUAUAGGUUUUGUUCCAACCCAAUAAGGGCAAUAUCAGCAACUCUAUAAGCGUAAUAUCAAGAAGCAACAAGUGGCCAACCGCUUCUACCACGAAGAUCAAGAGUGAACAAUCAUUUUCGAAUAACU